UGUAAGCGUAUACCAAAGUUGUUGCAGUUAAAACGCUCGUAGUCGGAAUUUGGCAGUUCCGGAAGUGUGCACGUCGUGUGCGCACUUUGCGGGGACUGCUUUUGUGGUCUUGCGUAGGAUGAGGCACUUUCAUUAGUGAACGUCCUCACGCAACCACUCUUUACUGUGAGAAAAUCAGAGUGCUCAAAGCAGGCAUUUGCCGUGAAUGUAUUAGCAUGGAAUAAUAGAAUAGGACUCGGCUCUAUUUUGUUGGUUUGUUGGGACUGAGUAAUGAUUAAGAGGGACAGUUGGGGGCAUUUGUAUUUCGGUGCUAGAGGUGAAAUUCUUAGAUUACCGAAAGACAAACUGCUGCGAAAGCGUCUGCCAAGGAUGUUUUCAUUGA
rnacentral:rRNA from 1 species